rnacentral:rRNA from 1 species
UACGUAGGGCGCGAGCGUUGUCCGGAUUUAUUGGGCGUAAAGAGCUCGUAGGCGGCUUGUCGCGUCGUUCGUGAAAACUUGGGGCUCAACCCCAAGCUUGCGGUCGAUACGGGCAGGCUAGAGUUCGGUAGGGGAGACUGGAAUUCCUGGUGUAGCGGUGAAAUGCGCAGAUAUCAGGAGGAACACCGGUGGCGAAGGCGGGUCUCUGGGCCGAUACUGACGCUGAGGAGCGAAAGCGUGGGGAGCGAACAGG